rnacentral:rRNA from 1 species
GAUGAACGCUGGCGGCGUGCCUAAUACAUGCAAGUCGAGCGAACGGACGAGAAGCUUGCUUCUCUGAUGUUAGCGGCGGACGGGUGAGUAACACGUGGAUAACCUACCUAUAAGACUGGGAUAACUUCGGGAAACCGGAGCUAAUACCGGAUGAUAUUUUGAACCGCAUGGUUCAAAAGUGAAAGACGGUCUUGCUGUCACUUAUAGAUGGAUCCGCGCUGCAUUAGCUAGUUGGUAAGGUAAUGGCUUACCAAGGCAACGAUGCAUAGCCGACCUGAGAGGGUGAUCGGCCACACUGGAACUGAGACACGGUCCAGACUCCUACGGGAGGCAGCAGUAGGGAAUCUUCCGCAAUGGGCGAAAGCCUGACGGAGCAACGCCGCGUGAGUGAUGAAGGUCUUCGGAUCGUAAAACUCUGUUAUUAGGGAAGAACAUAUGUGUAAGUAACUGUGCACAUCUUGUCGGUACCUAAUCAGAAUGCCACGGCUAACUACGUG